rnacentral:rRNA from 1 species
UCCAUCGACCUGAGUUCAGGUGAGGCUA